rnacentral:rRNA from 1 species
GGGUUGUGAGGUUAAGCGACUAAGCGUACACGGUGGAUGCCCUGGCAGUCAGAGGCGAUGAAGGNNUCGUCACACUAUCAUUAACUGAAUCCAUAGGUUAAUGAGGCGAACCGGGGGAACUGAAACAUCUAAGUACCCCGAGGAAAAGAAAUCAACCGAGAUUCCCCCAGUAGCGGCGAGCGAACGGGGAGGAGCCCAGAGCCUGAAUCAGCAUGUGUGUUAGUGGAAGCGUCUGGAAAGGCGCGCGAUACAGGGUGACAGCCCCGUACACAAAAGCGCAUGUGCUGUGAGCUCGAUGAGUAGGGCGGGACACGUGGUAUCCUGUCUGAAUAUGGGGGGACCAUCCUCCAAGGCUAAAUACUCCUGACUGACCGAUAGUGAACCAGUACCGUGAGGGAAAGGCGAAAAGAACCCCGGCGAGGGGAGUGAAAAAGAACCUGAAACCGUGUACGUACAAGCAGUGGGAGCNNGUGACUGCGUACCUUUUGUAUAAUGGGUCAGCGACUUAUAUUCUGUAGCAAGGUUAACCGAAUAGGGGAGCCGGAGGGAAACCGAGUCUUAAUUGGGCGUUAAGUUGCAGGGUAUAGACCCGAAACCCGGUGAUCUAGCCAUGGGCAGGUUGAAGGUUGGGUAACACUAACUGGAGGACCGAACCGACUAAUGUUGAAAAAUUAGCGGAUGACCUGUGGCUGGGGGUGAAAGGCCAAUCAAACCGGGAGAUAGCUGGUUCUCCCCGAAAGCUAUUUAGGUAGCGCCUCGUGAAUUCAUCUCCGGGGGUAGAGCACUGUUUCGGCUAGGGGGCCAUCCCGGCUUACCAACCCGAUGCAAACUGCGAAUACCGGAGAAUGUUAUCACGGGAGACACACGGCGGGUGCUAACGUCCGUCGUGAAGAGGGAAACAACCCAGACCGCCAGCUAAGGUCCCAAAGUCAUGGUUAAGUGGGAAACGAUGUGGGAAGGCCCAGACAGCCAGGAUGUUGGCUUAGAAGCAGCCAUCAUUUAAAGAAAGCGUAAUAGCUCACUGGUCGAGUCGGCCUGCGCGGAAGAUGUAACGGGGCUAAACCAUGCACCGAAGCUGCGGCAGCGANNGUUGGGUAGGGGAGCGUUCUGUAAGCCUGCGAAGGUGGCCUGUGAGGGUUGCUGGAGGUAUCAGAAGUGCGAAUGCUGACAUAAGUAACGAUAAAGCGGGUGAAAAGCCCGCUCGCCGGAAGACCAAGGGUUCCUGUCCAACGUUAAUCGGGGCAGGGUGAGUCGACCCCUAAGGCGAGGCCGAAAGGCGUAGUCGAUGGGAAACGGGUUAAUAUUCCCGUACUUGGUGUUACUGCGAAGGGGGGACGGAGAAGGCUAUGUUGGCCGGGCGACGGUUGUCCCGGUUUAAGCGUGUAGG